rnacentral:tRNA from 1 species
GCUGGGACUGUAGCUCAGUGGCAGAGAGCUUGCCUAGCACGUAUGAGGCACUGGGUUUGAUCCUCCGCACAGCA